rnacentral:rRNA from 1 species
GACGAAGGAUGCAAGCGCUAUCCGGAUUCAUUGGUUUAAAGGGAGCGUAGGUGGCCUUAUAAGUCAGUGGUGAAAUCUCUGGGCUUAACCCAGAAAUUGCCAUUGAUACUGUAGGGCUUGAGUACAGUUGCUGUGGGCGGAAUAUGACAUGUAGUGGUGAAAUACAUAGAGAUGUCAUAGAACACCGAUUGCGAAGGCAGCUCACAAAACUGUAACUGACACUGAGGCUCGAAAGUGCGGGGAUCAAACAGG